AUACGUAGGGGGCGAGCGUUGUCCGGAAUGAUUGGGCGUAAAGGGCGCGUAGGCGGCCCGGUAAGUCUGGAGUGAAAGUCCUGUUUUUAAGAUGGGAAUUGCUUUGGAUACUGUCGGGCUUGAGUGCAGGAGAGGUAAGUGGAAUUCCCAGUGUAGAGGUGAAAUGCGUAGAGAUUGGGAGGAACACCAGUGGCGAAGGCGACUUACUGGACUGUAACUGACGCUGAGGCGCGAAAGUGUGGGGAGCAAACAGGAUUAGAUACCCUGGUAGUCCACACUGUAAACGAUGAAUGCUAGGUGUAGGGGGUAUCGACCCCUUCUGUGCCGCAGUCAACACAAUAAGCAUUCCGCCUGGGGAGUACGGCCGCAAGGUUGAAACUCAAAGGAAUUGACGGGG
rnacentral:rRNA from 1 species